rnacentral:rRNA from 1 species
UGGGGAAUUUUGGACAAUGGGCGAAAGCCUGAUCCAGCCAUGCCGCGUGAGUGAAGAAGGCCUUCGGGUUGUAAAGCUCUUUCAGGUGGAAAGAAAACGCAUAGGUUAAUACCUUGUGCGGAUGACGGUACCAUCAGAAGAAGCACCGGCUAACUACGUGCCAGCAGCCGCGGUAAUACGUAGGGUGCGAGCGUUAAUCGGAGUUACUGGGCGUAAAGCGUGCGCAGGCGGUUAUGUAAGACAGAUGUGAAAUCCCCGGGCUCAACCUGGGACCUGCAUUUGUGACUGCAUAGCUAGAGUACGGCAGAGGGGGAUGGAAUUCCGCGUGUAGCAGUGAAAUGCGUAGAUAUGCGGAGGAACACCGAUGGCGAAGGCAGCUACCUGGACCAACACUGACACUGAGGCACGAAAGCGUGGGGAGCAAACA